CAAAAGGGUCGGUUGGCUAAAUAUGCCACGCUUACCCAUAGAUUGGUAAGUGCUGUAUGGCUAUCAAGACAUAUGGCCGACAUAAUUUGUGUAAUCUUAUAUAGGGUUGGCUCGUUUCUGGCCGACCCUCCA